CCUGUUUAUUGUUAAAGAAACUAAAUUCUUACUCGGUGGUUGGAGCAUUAAUAUAAACAAACAAACAUAGUCAGGGGGUUUUCCUGCCAUUAGUAGGGCAACAAGUAAAGCAAAAAAAAAAAAAAAGUUGUUUUUCAAACAUAGUUUUUGCUUUUUUCAACAUUUUUGGUGCUUUUUUUUAUGGGAACGUUACUCCGUAAAUGCUUCUUGGAAAUCCCACACUGAUUGUCCAUCAUAUCGCCCCCUAAAGUUGGCUUUAAAUCUCAUACUAACUGGUUUUAAAAAGGUCUUAACUGUAACUGUGAGAACCCCGAGGGUCCCCUGCCUCCAUCUCUCCGCCUCCUUUAUUACAGAACUUUAUUUAGUAAAUCUGAGUGAAGUCAGGUGAUCGUCUAGUUGAGUCUGCCACAGUUUUAUGUUUAUUUUGAUGUAGAUUUUUCUAUUCCCCGUCCCUUUCUUCCCUUUCUCUUUCACUGUGUGCCCUGCUGUGUUCUUUUAAAACCUGCUGAAUGCCUUUUUAAAAAUGUUAAAA